rnacentral:misc_RNA from 1 species
UUUCCGUAGGUGAACCUGCGGAAGGAUCAUUACUGAGUGAGGAACCCUCGGGGUCCAACCUCCCACCCGUGUUUAACGAACCUUGUUGCUUCGGCGCGCCCGCCUCACGGCCGCCCGGGGGCAUUUUCCCCCGGGCCCGCGCCCGCCGAAGCCAUCUGUGAACGUUGUUUGAAGUAUGCAGUCUGAGAAAAUUAUUAAAUUAAUUAAAACUUUCAACAACGGAUCUCUUGGUUCCG